rnacentral:tRNA from 1 species
GCGAUCUCUCGGUCAUGGUGAGACCCGACGCGGUCGACCGGCGCGACGAGUACGGCCUCAUGGAAUCUGUGCUGUUCGGAUCGGCGCGGCCGCU